rnacentral:rRNA from 1 species
CUGACGAGUUUGAUCAUGGCUCAGGAUGAACGCUAGCGGGAGGCCUAAUACAUGCAAGUCGAACGGUAAGGUCCCUUCGGGGAUACACGAGUGGCGGACGGGUGCGUAACGCGUACGAAACAUACCUUCAACAGGGAGAUACCGCCGGGAAACUGGAAAUAAUACCCCAUAGUAUUGAGAUAUCGCAUGAUAUUUCAAUUAAAGCUUUGGCGGUUGAAGAUUGUCGUGCGUCUGAUUAGCUAGUUGGUGAGGUAACGGCUCACCAAGGCGACGAUCAGUAGCUGGUCUGAGAGGAUGAUCAGCCACACUGGAACUGAGACACGGUCCAGACUCCUACGGGAGGCAGCAGUAGGGAAUAUUGGACAAUGGGCGGAAGCCUGAUCCAGCCAUCCCGCGUGUAGGAAUAAGGCCCUAUGGGUUGUAAACUACUUUCAUUAGGGAAGAAAAACUUUGAUUUAUCAGAGCUUGACGGUACCUAAGGAAUAAGCACCGGCUAACUCCGUG